UACGGGGGGGGCAAGCGUUGUUCGGAAUUACUGGGCGUAAAGGGUUCGUAGGUGGCUCGCUAAGUCAGACGUGAAAUCCCUCAGCUUAACUGGGGAACUGCGUCUGAGACUGGCGAGCUUGAGUGCAGGAGAGGAACGCGGAAUUCCAGGUGUAGCGGUGAAAUGCGUAGAUAUCAGGAGGAACACCGGUGGCGAAAGCGCUUGUCUGGCCCAAUACUGACGCUGAGGCGCGAAAGCUAGGGGAGCAAACGGG
rnacentral:rRNA from 1 species